GAUGAACGCUGGCGGCGUGCCUAAUACAUGCAAGUCGAGCGAACGGACGAGAAGCUUGCUUCUCUGAUGUUAGCGGCGGACGGGUGAGUAACACGUGGAUAACCUACCUAUAAGACUGGGAUAACUUUGGGAAACCGGAGCUAAUACCGGAUGAUAUUUUGAACCGCAUGGUUCAAAAGUGAAAGACGGUCUUGCUGUCACUUAUAGAUGGAUCCGCGCUGCAUUAGCUAGUUGGUAAGGUAACGGCUUACCAAGGCAACGAUGCAUAGCCGACCUGAGAGGGUGAUCGGCCACACUGGAACUGAGACACGGUCCAGACUCCUACGGGAGGCAGCAGUAGGGAAUCUUCCGCAAUGGGCGAAAGCCUGACGGAGCAACGCCGCGUGAGUGAUGAAGGUCUUCGGAUCGUAAAACUCUGUUAUUAGGGAAGAACAUAUGUGUAAGUAACUGUGCACAUCUUGACGGUACCUAAUCAGAAAGCCACGGCUAACUACGUA
rnacentral:rRNA from 1 species